AUGAUGAUGGUUAUGAGCCAUUGUCAUUUGUGCUGCCAAAGAAAAGGAAGAGCAGGGCAAAGCAGAGGCCUCCUAGAAAAUGGUACAAUGAGAAAAUGGAGGCACCACAUGAGCAAUUAUGUCUACAGAUGUGUUUCAAGGAUCAACAUCAGAGAGGCUUUGUUGAACUUACACAUCACUCAAGGCAGAAACUUCAAAUAUCAUAGGAACUCAGAUCAAAGAAUAAUUGUAGAAUGCAACCAAAAACAUUGCAACUUCUUUAUGGUGGCAUCAGUUAUAAAAGGUGAAACUACUUUUGUAAUUAAGAAGAUGAGAAUUAAGCACACUUGCCCUAUUAGUACAGAGACAACAAGGGUAAGUGCCAAGUGGCUUGCACAGAAGUAUGAGUCACUGUUCAGAUCUGAUCUAACAACUGGCAUUCAGACUUUGAUUGAUGCCUGCAUGGAGAAGUAUGGUGUGGAUGUGCCCAAGUCAAUGGCAUAUAGGGCAAAGAACCUAGCUAUUGAUGUUGUGCUAGGAGACCACAAGAAGCAAUACCCUAGGUUGAAAGACUAUGCUCAGACAGUGAUGGAUACAAACCCUGGGAGUAGAGUAGUAGUCACUACUGUAACUCCAACACCCACUGAAAAAAUCCCCCAUCCAGGUCCAAGAUUCCAUGCUAUGUUCUAUUGCAUCAAUGGAGCAAGGGAGGGGUUUCUCAAGGGGUGCAGACCAUUCAUUGGUGUUGAUGGGUGCUUCAUUAAGUUAACUACUGGUGCUCAACUACUUGCUGCCACUGGUAGAGAUGGCAAUAACAAUAUAUACCCACUAGCAUUUGGUAUUGUUGGGCAAGAGGACACACCUAACUGGUGUUGGUUUCUACACCAACUUAAAAUCUGCCUAGGAGGAGAAGUGGGAAGGUUUGGUCCAUAUACAAUAAUGUCAGAUAGACAAAAGGGCCUACUAAAUGCAGUGAAUGUUGUCUUUCCUAAGUGCAACCAAAGGUUCUGCCUUAGGCAUAUCUAUGCAAACUUCCAAAAUGCUGGGUUUAGGGGGGAAGAUCUGAAAAAGUGUAUGGAUAAUGCUGCCUAUGCAUAUAGUGAACACAAAUUUAACAUUGCAAUGAAUGACCUUAGAGCUGAGUGUGAGCAAGCUUGGGAGUGGCUUUGUCAAAUACCCAAGAAAACAUGGGCAAGGCAUGCAUUUGACACAAACUGCAAGACUGACCUUGUAGUUAACAAUUUAUCUGAGGUGUUCAACAAGUAUGUCCUAGAUGUUAGGAAGAAACCAAUUAGGACAAUGUGUGAUGGAAUAAAGGAUAAGCAGAUGGUGAGGUGGCAUAGGAAUAGGGAGAGUGGAAAGAAAGCUAUAUGGGACAUAACACCCCAUUAUAGUGAGAAGCUAGAGGUUGAGAAGGAGAGGGCCAAAUAUUGCAAACCAAUUCAAGCUAGUGUGGACUUGUGGCAAGUUACAAGUGGGCAGCAAACCCAUGCUGUUAACUUGCAAAUGCACACAUGUGGGUGCAGAAAAUGGGACCUAAGUGGCAUCCCAUGUAACCAUGCCAUCUCAGCAAUUAACAAGGCCAAAAGAAAACCAGAGGAUUAUGUCAGCAAGUUCUUCAAGAAAGAAAUUUAUCUGGCAGCUUAUGAACCAAUGAUCUAUCCAGUUCCUGGUGAGCAUGACUGGACAAGGACCCCUGGUCCAGACAUUGACCCACCUGCAUUUAAAGUGAAGAGAGGAAGAAAGAAAGAGAAGAGGAUCAAGGGGAGAUUUGAAGUUCCAAAGCCUAAGGACACAUCUAGAAUGGGGACUAUAACAUGUGGCAAUUGUGGACUGCAAGGACAUAGGUACACAAGCUGCAACAAGCAGUUGAAGCCUGAGCUGGCUUUGAGGAAGAACAAACAUGUGCCUCUUGCAAGGAAUUCCAAUGCUGGUGCUGCUGCUACUACACAAGCAUCAAGAACUUCUCAUCCAGCUCCUACAACAACACCAACAGCUGGAACAGGAGCUGGGAGAGGAGCUGGGAGAGGAGCUGGGAGAGGGGCUGCAGCUGCAGCUGCUGGGAGUGGUGCUGCUAGAGGUGCUGGUAGAGGUGCUGGGAGAGGUGCUGCACCAGGUGCUGGGAGAGGUGCUGGGAGAGGGAGAGGUACAUUCUCUGCCCCAAGGCAAUCUGGUCCCUCCACAUCUACUGCUCCCUCUACAUCUACUGCUACUCCACCUUCUGGUGGUGGUAGAAACAGAGGAUGGAGAGCCUACUUCUAUGCAAGUGGUAACCACUAA
rnacentral:rRNA from 1 species